CCCUCACCGCUACUUCUCCAUUCUCUCUUAUUCUGCUCCAAACCAAACUGAUACCCUAAUUCAAUUAUCAUCGCUUUUCCAUUUUCAUCUCUUUUAUGUGCCGUCACCACUGAUUCUAUCCUGAAUCAAUGGGUAAAUUGUAGAGGCGAUUUCUUUAUGAAACUAGGGUUUUUGAUUUUAAAUAUUUGAUUUGAACUGGAACCCUAUUUAAUUUUUUUUUGAUGUUGUAGGGUUGUUGUUGUAAAGCACAUCACAGGUUUCAGAGAAAGAAGAUGCUUCUGCUGCUCUGGAUAAUAUGUAUAAUGCUGAGCAUUUUGGGAGAGUUUUUACUGCUAAUUAUGCUUUGCGUAAGAAAAUUUAAGGUGCUGAACAGGGUCGGGAUGUAUAACCAAUUCAGGCAGUAAAUUAAGAACUCCUUUGAGAUUCUGGAGCAUCCAUGUUAAAUGUCAAUUGUAUUUGUUCGGAGAUUAUUGUCUUUUGGUUCAAUUGGACAGUUCGAAUCUUCAUUGGCGUGCUAUGUUGAGAACCUGAAACUUUCCCCCUGAAACUAUAGUGUAAUAGUUUGGGCAGAUGUAGGUACAUGGUUUGAGCGCCAGCAACAAAAAAAAAUGCUGCGUCUAUGGGCAGAAAAUCAUGCUAAAAUGGAAAUAUAGGAAGAAGUUAGUUGAUGAAAGAGAAGGGGAGAGAGACGAAGACAACGAGAUGAAGGAUGAUUCGAUGGCAAGGGUGGAAGAAGAGGUCUUGAAUCUAAAAGACAGUUAUUGGAAUACCCUACUGAUUGAGUUGUCAUUAUCGGUAGGGUGUUAUAGCUAAUCUUAGAUUUUCCGUUUACUAUGUGGUUAUUGCUUUGUCUUUACAAAAAUUGGGUUUUUGUGCUCCAAUCCAUAUGGAUGAUGAUGGUAUAACUAGAUAUCUGAUAUAACUUAGUAUAAAGUUGCUUUCUGUUGUGGAUAAUAUGGAUAAUGCUGAGCUUUGUGUUACUGCAGUUUGGGCCAGCAAAAGAAAAUAAAAGUUUUGCGCAAAAUAAUUUUUACCAGCUCUUGGUAUUACUAGCUGUACUAAGAGGAAGGUAAAUAUAUAUCUUUAUUUCAUAUGUUCUUUUUGUUGUUGGUUUAAUUGGAAUUUUAGAUUAUGCAAUUGUAUAUUAUAGUUAUGGGUUUUAGGUUGUCUGAACCAAUAGCUAUGAGUAGUAUGGACAAUAUAAUUGUUUUAUAAUCACAGAGCAUAUUGAGUUGGACUACGGUGGGUUUCUUAUAGGUUGAUAGUGCAUGCGAGGAGUUUCUACCUGUUAUUUACCUGUAUUAGAAGCUUUGCACCUAAUAUUUUCUGCAUUUUUUUUCUUUCUGCAAUGUGAUAAGAAGAUAAAAAGAAUCAUACGUUUUCUUUGUAGUUUCUUUAUGACGACGUGUUAGAAGUACAAAGCAUUUUGUAUGAAAAAGAGGAUCGCUAGCAGGAAACUGCUUUAGAGAAAAAGAACUUCAAGUGAAAUAGAUUGGUAACAUGAAGAUAAUAUUACAUUUGCUUAUUCAACGAGUUAACAUGAAGAUAAACUCCAAGUGAAAUAGAUUGGUAUUACAUACAAAGUAUAUUCCAUAGAUUUUAUUAUAAGUUAUACCCUCCUAAUAAAGAUGAUGACGUGGCUCUUUGUUCAUGCCGGUGCUUUUUGAUCCUCUUCUACUGACAGACUUGCGUUUAUGUAUUUACUACAGUUUGUAUGUAACGAACACUUUCGUAUUUCAUUAUGAAAGUGGAUAGAUUAAGACAUGGCCUUGUUGAAUUACUUCGUUAACCCCUGGAGAAAAAAGAGAUAACAAAAUCGUAGUUAUCCUAUCCGACAACAAAGCAUGAAAGACUACACUGAAUUCUUUUGGUGCUUAAUUUCAUUGUUUCAGAUACUUAAGAUUUAAUUUUUAGAUUUGAUUAUUUAA